rnacentral:lncRNA from 1 species
UUCUUUGUCAUCAUAGUAAUCAUCAUCAUAACUAUAGAAUUUUAGUGAAUUUUGAUUUUUUUUUUUGUCCCUUUGGUUAUAGGAGUCUAGAUAUUCUUAUUAAGAUUUCUGAGAAAAAAUAUUUAGGUUACAAAUGUGAAUCAUUAAGAUUUCUUUCUUUUCCUUUUUUUAGUAGGAUUAAUUUGAAAAAAAAUUGUGUUUGCUUUGAUGUGGA